rnacentral:lncRNA from 1 species
GAUUGGGGCACAAUGGGGGUCAAUGGGGCACAAUGGGGUCAAUGUGGGGCACAAUGGGGUCAGUGGGGCACAAUGGGGUCAGAUGUGCGGCACAAUGGGGUCAAUGGGGCACAAUGGUGUCAAUGUGGGGCCCAUAACCAAUGACCCCCAUGGCCCCAUUGCCCCCAUUGACUCACCACGAUACGGAACGGUGAGUUGGGGACGUGCUGCCCCCCAAACCGCACAAUGGAGUCAGAUGUGGGCACGGGAUGGGGUCAGAUAUGUGGGUCGAGCAAUUUGGGUCAGUGGGCGCCCAGAGUGGGAUCAAUGUGGGCAGCAU